rnacentral:snRNA from 1 species
ACACUUACAUAUCAGAAAGAAAAAGGAGAGGUAACAUAACUGGGAAGGUGGAUUCCUUGCAUUCAGGCUAUACUGACUCCUGCGGUUUUGCCAAAUGCAGGGAAGCUUGACUGCAUAACUUGUGGCAGUGAGACAGUGCACUGUGUAUCUUUCCC